rnacentral:rRNA from 1 species
GUCUAUGGCCAUACCACCCUGAACACGCCUGAUCUCGUCUGAUCUCUGAAGCUAAGCAGGGUCGGCCUGGUUAGUACUUGGAUGGGAGGAGUAAGCUGUUGUUAAUA